UUGGCCUUGGAAGGAAUUUGAUUUCUUUAGGUGUACUAUGUAAUAUUUGUUCUAAUACAGUAUUGGGUAUCAUUUUUUCAGCACUUAUGGAAGAGAAUAAAACUAGAACAUGAUCACAUUUCUGUAAUACAAUAUUCAAUAAAUUAAUGGUGUAUACGGAAAAUACUGCCUGUCGGGAAAAAGAGAAAACCUAGAAAAUUGAACUGUAUGUCACAGGAAUAAACCUCGGAAUAAAAAUAUUAUCUAGAAGAAUCUCCUAUACUUUGUUUUCCUAAAUCAUUUCUACCCAUGCCAAGCCCCUGACCAACUUUCUCCAUUCAGAGUAUGUAACCACUAUUGAAGACAAGAAAAGUCUCUAGAUUUAGAGAGAUAUAGUAUGUAAAGAUUUCCACUGCGUCACAAAAGACUCAGGUGGAAAAGGCACUCUCAAAAUUGGUCAAUGAAAGCAAAGCUGUUCAGCAGGUAGGAUAUGGAGCUUCUCAGUGACACCAUCAUUAGGCCCUCCCUGAAAAAUCUCUUGUAACCUUGAGAGCCCUAGCUCCUUCUGUGAGGUCAUAAGUGUUGUUGUGACAGCACUUGCUUCUUAGAUAUUCCUUCAGUACCUCUAGGGCUUACUAAUUGGCCUUUAAUUCAGAGUGAACAGCCAUUUUUGAGGGAGAAAAGGAAGAUGAAGAGAUCAGAGAUGGAAAGAAGGAAGAUGUCCUUCUGUCUUGGUGUUAAAAAAGGAAGAAAUACGUGGUCCAUUGGAGAGCUAAAUUAGUCCUGGUGUUCACUUUGUCAAUCUGUGCUCCGUGAUUGUGCUCCAGAAGUGGUCCACUAUGGGGUCUUACAACAUUUUGGUUCAUCACAAGGAACUCUGUUCCCUCCAGACCACAAUUGGCGAAGAGAUCAGAGACUCCGUCAGAGAGAGACCCAACCACCUGGUCAGGUGGGCACUCCUGAGGCUGCAGAGCAGAAGAGACCACCAACACUGCCCACCCCUGCCCACAUCCCUGGCUCAAGAGGAAACUGUAUAAGGCCUCUGGGCUCCCGUGAGGGAGGGCCCAGGAGCAGCAGGACCCCUGCCUGAGAAACCGCUGGAACCUGAAGGAAACAGAUUGGAUAAACAGUUCUCUGCACCCAAAACCUGUGGGAGGGAGAGCUAAACCUUCAGAGAGGCAGACAAGCCUGGGAAACCAGAAGAGACUGCUCUCUGCACAUACAUCUCUGAAGCCAGAGGAAAAAACCAAAGGCCAUCUGGAACCCUGAUGCACUGAAGCUACUGGAAAGGGUGGCACAGAUCUUCCUGGUUGCUGCCGCCACAGAGAGCCCAUGGGCAGCACCCCGUGAGCGAACUUGAGCCUCAGGAUGACAGGUAACACCAACUUUUCUGCUGCAAGUGACCUGCCUGGUGAACUCAAGACACAGGCCCACAGGAACAGCUGUAGACCUGUAGAGAGGAAAAACUACACACCCGAAAGCAGAACACUCUGUCACCGUAACUGACUGAAAGAGAGGAAAACAGGUCUACAGCACUCCUGACACACAGGCUUAUAGGACAGUCUAGCCACUGUCAGAAAUAGCAGAACAAAGUCACACUAGAGAUAAUCUGAUGCCGAGAGGCAAGCGCAGGAACCCAAGCAACAGAAACAAAGACUACAUGGCAUCAUCGGAGUCCAAUUCUCCCACUAAAACAAACAUGGAAAAUCCAAACACACCAGAAAAGCAAGAUCUAGUAUCAAAAUCAUAUUUGAUCAUGAUGCUGGAGGACUUCAAGAAAGACGUGAAGAACUUCUUUAGAGAAACACAGGAAAACAUUAAUAAACAAGUAGAAGCCUACAGAAAGUAAUCACAAAAAUCCCUGAAAGAAUUCUAGGAAAACAUAAAUAAACAAGUAGAAGCCCAUAAGGAGGAGACACAAAAAUCCCUGAAAGAGUUCCAGGAAAACACAAUCAAACAGUUGAAGGAAUUAAAAAUGGAAAUAGAAGCAAUCAAGAAAGAACACAUGGAAAAAACCCUGGAUAUAGAAAACCAAAAGAAGAGACAAGGAGCUGUAGAUACAAGCUUCACCAACAUAAUACGAGAGAUGGAAGAGAGAAUCUCAGGAGCAGAAGAUUCCAUAGAAAUCAUUGACUCAACUGUCAAAGAUAAUGUAAAGCGGAAAAAGCUACUGGUCCAAAAUAUACAGGAAAUCCAGGACUCAAUGAGAAGAUCAAACCUAAGGAUAAUAGGUAUAGAAGAGAGUAAAGACUCCCAGCUCAAAGGACCAGUAAAUAUCUUCAACAAAAUCAUAGAAGAAAACCUCCCUAACCUAAAAAAAGAGAUACCCAUAGACAUACAAGAACCUACAGAACUCCAAAUAGAUUGGACCAGAAAAGAAACACCUCCCGUCACAUAAUUGUCAAAACACCAAACGCACAAAAUAAAGAAAGAAUAUUAAAAGCAGUAAGGGAAAAAGGUCAAGUAACAUAUAAAGGCAAACCUAUCAGAAUCACAGCAGACUUCUCGCCAGAAACUAUGAAGGCCAGAAGAUCCUGGACUGAUGUCAUACAGACCCUAAGAGAACACAAAUGCCAGCCCAGGUUACUGUAUCCUGCAAAACUCUCAAUUAACAUAGAUGGAGAAACCAAGAUAUUCCAUGACAAAACCAAAUUUACACAAUAUCUUUCUACAAAUCCAGCAGUACAAAGGAUAUUAAAUGAUAAAGCCCAACAUAAGGAGGCAAGCUAUACCCUAGAAGAAGCAAAAACUAAUCGUCUUGGCAACAAAACAAAGAGAAUGAAAGCACACAAACAAUACCUCACAUCUAAAUAUUAAUAUAAAGGGAAGCAAUAAUCACUAUUCCUUAAUAUCUCUCAAAAUCAAUGUCCUCAACUCCCCAAUAAAAAGAAACAGAUUAACAAACUGGAUACGCAACAAGGACCCUGCAUUCUGCUUCCUACAGGAAACACACCUCAGAGACAAAGACAGACAUUACCUCAGAGUGAAAGGCUGGAAAAGAACUUUCCAAGAAAAUGGUCAGAAGAAGCAAGCUGGAGUAGCCAUUCUAAUAUCAAAUAAAAUCAAUUUCCAACUAAAAGUCAUCAAAAAAGAUAAGGAAGGACACUUCAUAUUCAUCAAAGGAAAUAUCCACCAAGAUGAACUCUCAAUCCUAAAUAUCUAUGCCCCAAAUAUAAGGGCACCUACAUACGUAAAAGAAACCUUACUAAAACUCAAAACACACAUUGAACCUCACACAAUAAUAGUGGGAGAUUUCAACACUCCACUCUCAUCAAUGGACAGAUCAUGGAAACAGAAAUUAAACAGAGAUGUAGACAGAUUAAGAGAAGUCAUGAGCCAAAUGGACUUAACGGAUAUUUAUAGAACAUUCUAUCCUAAAGCAAAAGGAUAUACCUUCUUCUCAGCUCCUCAUGGUACUUUCUCCAAAAUUGACCAUAUAAUUGGUCAAAAAAUGGGCCUCAACACGUACAGAAAGAUAGAAAUAAUCCCAUGCGUGUUAUUGGACCACCAUGGCCUAAAACUGGUCUUCAAUAACAAUAAGGGAAGAAUGCCCACAUAUACGUGGAAAUUGAACAAUGCUCUACUCAAUGAUAACCUGGUCAAGGAAGAAAUAAAGAGAGAAAUUAAAAACUUUUUAGAAUUUAAUGAAAAUGAAGGUACAACAUACCCAAACUUAUGGGACACAAUGAAAGCUUUGCUAAGAGGAAAACUCAUAGCGCUGAGUGCCUGCAGAAAGAAACAGGAAAGAGCAUAUGUCAGCAGCUUGACAGCACACCAAAAGCUCUAGAACAAAAAGAAGCAAAUACACCCAGGAGGAGUAGAAGGCAGGAAGUAAUCAAACACAGAGCUGAAAUCUGAAGUAGAAACAAGUAGAAACAAAAAGGACCAUAGAAAGAAUCAACAGGACCAAAACUUGUUUCUUUGAGAAAAUCAACAAGAUAGAUAAAGCCUUGGCCAGACUAACGAGAGGACACAGAGAGUGCGUCCAAAUUAACAAAAUCAGAAAUGGAAAGGGAGACAUAACUACAGAUUCAGAGGAAAUGAAAAAAAAUCAUCAGAUUUUACUAUAAAAACCUAUAUUAAACAAAACUUGAAAAUCUUCAGGAAAUGGACAAUUUCCUAGACAGAUACCAGGUAUCUAAGUUAAAUCAGGAACAGAUAAACCAGUUAAACAACCCCAUAACUCCUAAGGAAAUAGAAGCAGUCAUUAAAGGUCUCCCAACCAAAAAGAGCCCAGGUCCAGACGGGUUUAGUGCAGAAUUCUAUCAAACCUUCAUAGAAGACCUCAUACCAAUUUUAUCCAAACUAUUCCACAAAAUUGAAACAGAUGGAUCACUACCGAAUACCUUCUACGAAGCCACAAUUACUCUUAUACCUAAACCACACAAAGACAACAAAGAAAGAGAACUUCAGGCCAAUUUCCCUUAUGAAUAUCGACACUAAAAUACUCAAUAAAAUUCUGGCAAAGCGAAUUCAAGAGCAUAUCAAAACAAUCAUCCACCAUGAUCAAGUAGGCUUCAUCCCAGGCAUGCAGGGAUGAUUUAAUAUACGGAAAACCAUCAAUGUGAUCAAUUAUAUAAGUAAACUGGAAGAACAAAACCACAUGAUCAUUUCAUUAGAUGCUGAGAAAGCAUUUGACAAAAUUCAACACCCCUUCAUGAUAAAAGUCCUGGAAAGAAUAGGAAUUCAAGGCCCAUACCUAAACAUAGUAAAAGCCGUAUACAGCAAACCAGUUGCUAACAUUAAACUAAAUGGAGAGAAACUUGAAGCAAUCCCACUAAAAUCAGGGACUAGACAAGGCUGCCCACUCUCUCCCUACUUAUUCAAUAUAGUUCUUGAAGUUCUAGCCAGAGCAAUCAGACAACAAAAGGAGAUAAAGGGGAUACAGAUCAGAAAAGAGGAGGUCAAAAUAUCACUAUUUGCAGAUGAUAUGAUUGUAUUUUUAAGUGAUCCCAUAAGUUCCACCAGAGAACUACUAAAGCUGAUAAACAAUUUCAGCAAAAUGGCUGGGUAUAAAAUUAACUCAAAUAAAUCAGUUGCCUUCCUCUACACAAAAGAGAAACAAGCCGAGAAAGAAAUUAGGAAAACGACACCCUUCAUAAUAGACCUAAAUAAUAUAAAGUACCUCGGUGUGACUUUAACCAAGCAAGUAAAAGAUCUGUACAAUAAGAAUUUCAAGACACUGAGGAAAGAAAUUUAAGAAGACCUCAGAAGAUGGAAAGAUCUCCCAUGCUCAUGGAUUGGCAGGAUUAAUAUAGUAAAAAUGGCCAUUUUAACAAAAGCUAUCUACAGAUUCAAUGCAAUCCCCAUCAAAAUACCAAUCCAAUUCUUCAAAGAGUUAGACAGAACAAUUUGCAAAUUCAUCUGGAAUAACAAAAAAAAAAACAGGAUUGCUAAAACUAUCCUCAACAAUAAAAGGACUUCAGUGGGAAUCACUAUCCCUGAACUCAAGCAGUAUUACAGAGCAAUAGUGAUAAAAACUGCAUGGUAUUGGUACAGAGACAGACAGAUAGACCAAUGGAAUAGAAUUGAGGACUCAGAAAUGAAUCCACACACCUAUGGUCACUUGAUUUUUGACAAAGGAGCCAAAACCAUUCAAUGGAAAAAAGAUAGCAUUUUCAGCAAAUGGUGGUGGGUCAACUUGAGGUCAACAUGUAGAAGAAUGCAGAUCUAUCCAUUCUUAUCACCCUGUACAAAGAUUAAGUCCAAGUGGAUCAAGGACCUCCACAUCAAACCAGACACACUCAAACUAAUAGAAGAAAAACUAGGGAAGCAUCUGGAACACGUGGGUACUGGAAAAAAUUUCCUGAACAAAACACCAAUGGCUUACGCUCUAAGAUCAAGAAUCGGCAAAUGGGAUCUCAUAAAACUGCAAAGCUUCUGUAAGGCAAAGGACACUGUGAUUAGGACAAAACGGCAACCAACAGAUUGGGAAAAGAUCUUUACCAAUCCUACAACAGAUAGAGGCCUUAUAUCCAAAACAUACAAAGAACUCAAGAAGUUAGACCGCAGAGAAACAAAUAACCCUAUUAAAAAAUGGGGUUCAGAGCUAAACAAAGAAUUCCCAGCUUAGGAAUGCCAAAUGGCUGAGAAACAACUAAAGAAAUGUUCAACAUCUUUAGUCAUGAGGGAAAUGAAAAUCAAAACAACCCUGAGAUUUCACCUCACACCAGUGAGAAUGGCUAAGAUCAAAAACUCAGGUGACAGCAGAUGCUGGCGAGGAUGUGGAGAAAGAGGAACAGUCCUCCAUUGUUGGUGGGAUUGCAGACUGGUAAAACCAUUCUGGAAAUCAGUCUGGAGGUUCCUCAGAAAAUUGGACAUUGAACUGCCUGAGGAUCCAGCUAUACGUCUAUUUGGCAUACACCCAAAAGAUGCCUCAACAUAUAAAUGAGACACAUGCUCCACUAUGUUCAUCGCAGCCUUAUUUAUAAUAGCCAGAAAAUGGAAAGAACCCAGAUGCCCUUCAACAGAGGAAUGGAUACAGAAAAUGUGGUACAUCUACACAAUGGAAUAUUACUCAGCUAUCAAAAACAACGAGUUUAUGAAAUUCGUAGGCAAAUGGUUGGAACUGGAAAAUAUCAUCCUGAGUGAGCUAACCCAAUCACAGAAAGACAUACAUGGUAUGCACUCAUUGAUAAGUGGCUAUUAGCCCAAAUGCUUGAAUUACCCUAGAUCCCUAGAACAAACGAAACUCAAGACGGAUGAUCAAAAUGUGAAUGCUUCUCUCCUUCUUUAAAUGAGGAAAAAGAAUACCCUUGGCAGGGAAGGGAGAGGCAAAGAUUAAAACAGAGACUGAAGGAACACCCAUUCAGAGCCUGCCCCACAUGUGGCCCAUACAUAUACAGCCACCCAAUUAGACAAGAUGGAUGAAGCAAAGAAGUGCAGACCGACAGGAGCCGGAUGUAGAUCGCUCCUGAGAGACACAGCCAGAAUACAGCAAAUAUAGAGGCGAAUGCCAGCAGCAAACCACUGAACUGAGAAUAGGUCCCCUAUUGAAGGAAUCAGAGAAAGAACUGGAAGAGCUUGAAGGGGCUCGAGACCCCAAAAGUACAACAAUGCCAAGCAACCAGAGCUUCCAGGGACUAAUCCACUACCUAAAGACUAUACAUGGACUGACCCUGGACUCUGACCCCAUAGGUAGCAAUGAAUAUCCUAGUAAGAGCACCAGUGGAAGGGGAAGCCCUGGGUCCUGCUAAGACUGAACCCCCAGUG